rnacentral:rRNA from 1 species
AUGCGCCGUCGCCGUGGGAGGACCUCGUUGGCGCCGCGAAGGGGGCACAGCUCAGGUUGGGUACGCCGUCGGCCAUCGCCGGCAGCGAGCACGCUCCACUGUGACAUGUCCGCCACAGCCAGUCCUCUCCCGCCUCCCCCGACUCCGUGUCCUUGUCCAACGCAAAUCAAUGGAGCUGCCGACUCAGAUUGUUGUUGGCUGCUAUAA